rnacentral:tRNA from 1 species
GGACUGUGGCUCAGUGGUACAGCGCUAGCCUCACAUGCAUGAGGCACUGGAUUUGAUCCUCAGCACCA